rnacentral:rRNA from 1 species
UACGUAGGGGGCAAGCGUUGUCCGGAUUCAUUGGGCGUAAAGAGCGUGUAGGCGGCCAGACAGGUCAGCUGUGAAAACUCGAGGCUCAACCUCGAGACGUCGGUUGAAACCGUUUGGCUAGAGUCCGGAAGAGGAGAGUGGAAUUCCCGGUGUAGCGGUGAAAUGCGCAGAUAUCGGGAAGAACACCCGUGGCGAAGGCGGCUCUCUGGGACGGUACUGACGCUGAGACGCGAAAGCGUGGGGAGCGAACAGG